UUGCACAGAGAACACCCAAGGAUGCUAACGUAGCUCUCCCUGGAUUCCUAUAUCUGUGCUACAGUAACUUUGAUCUGUACCUCUGCAUUAGGGGAGUACUAUCUCCCCUACAUGUAUUCAGCGGAUCAGGAUAAUC